rnacentral:rRNA from 1 species
GACGAACGCUGGCGGCGUGCCUAAUACAUGCAAGUAGAACGCUGAAGGAGGAGCUUGCUCUUCUGGAUGAGUUGCGAACGGGUGAGUAACGCGUAGGUAACCUGCCUGGUAGCGGGGGAUAACUAUUGGAAACGAUAGCUAAUACCGCAUAAGAGUAGAUGUUGCAUGACAUUUACUUAAAAGGUGCAAUUGCAUCACUACCAGAUGGACCUGCGUUGUAUUAGCUAGUUGGUGGGGUAACGGCUUACCAAGGCGACGAUACAUAGCCGACCUGAGAGGGUGAUCGGCCACACUGGGACUGAGACACGGCCCAGACACCUACGGGAGGCAGCAGUAGGGAAUCUUAGGCAAUGGACGGAAGUCUGACCGAGCAACGCCGCGUGAGUGAAGAAGGUUUUCGGAUCGUAAAGCUCUGUUGUAAGAGAAGAACGAGUGUGAGAGUGGAAAGUUCACACUGUGACGGUAUCUUACCAGAAAGGGACGGCUAACUACGUG